rnacentral:lncRNA from 1 species
CUCAUUAAGGACCUCUUCUCAAAUUUGGAGUUCGGGCGAGGAGAUUGUUUGCUCAGCAUCUUAAACCCUCGUUCUCGGGAUCUACCGGCCGAGAAGAGGGUGAAGAAAAUGUCAACCGAGGGAGUAAUCCCUAGCUCAUGGCAAAAGGCAAUGAAUGCCAGUAUGUGGAUGUAGGAGUUGGGCACUAGCUGAGCGAAACCCACUCC